rnacentral:lncRNA from 1 species
AUUUCAGGGACAGGGAUGGAUGCCCCAGUGUAAAAGUCAUGAAAAGCCUCCCUAAGGGAGAAUGAGGAGGUGUGAGACACAGGCAGAGGCAGGGAGAAGAUUACGACAUGUCUCACUCAGGUGAUUAUUACAUCACUGGGGAAGCGGGGUACCAGAAGAAGAAAAGAGAUUUACCCUGACACCCAUGACUUCUCUGUGAGAAAACAGCUAGCAUAGAAUUUGACACAUAAAUGUCAAAAAUAAAUAAAUCCACGAUUGGUGGAAUUUCAGGCAAUCUUGCUGAUAGCAAGGAAAAGUUUUCUGCCUAUCCUAAGGAGUAAUGACCUAACAUAUAACCUUCUUCCAGAUAAGACUAAUGCUUCUAAAAUUGCUUAGCGACAGCUACACUGGUCAGCGGUUGAGGGAUUUAUUUUAAGAAAAAAAGCACUGGUAAAGAGAUUGGAAUGUAGUGAAGAUAUGAGAUCAUAAAAUCAGUGUCUGAACCAACAGAGCUCCAGAGGCCUUGCCUUGAAGAAUGACAGCAAGUAUUCUCCUUGUGAAGACUAUGAAGCCUGCCAUUUUCUGGGCCAAGACUGAGAAGAGGUGUGUAUUUGGGACUACAGAACAUAAGAUGUAAACUUUAAAGUCCGUGGUUCCAGUGGAUUUUCUGUAAAAGCCAUAUACCCCUGGCCAUCCAGAGUUCCAUGGUUAAGUAUGGUGUAAUGCUCUGAUAGAGAAUGAAUGAAGCUGGACAAGAUGCCAUAAUGCAGUUUCACUAGUGGAGAGAGCCACCUCUCAUCAGAGGCUUCUGCCUUCACAGAAUAUUGAUGAGGUCCCCGCCACAGUGUCCUUGCCAUAGGAACUG